CCUUCCGACUUCUUCAACUUCUUCGUCAGGUGGAGGACCUCCUUUUUCAGCCGCUGGAUAGUUGAUUUCAGCGGGACCCCCAGGGGCAAGGGGAGUGCUUCAGCAGGGCACUGACAUUGGAAGGUGCAAGCGUCAAAGAUCGACUCAUUACAAGAAGAAAAGCAGAAAGGAGGAGGAGGGGGAAGGAGAGGCCAUCCACAACAAGAAAUUCGACUUUAUUGAUUGAAUAAUUUUGAAGACAAACAGAAAGGAAAUAUGGCGACAAAAUAAGGGCACAAGAUCAGAGGUCUCAGACCUCAGGG
rnacentral:lncRNA from 1 species